GAGAUUGGUGAUUAACUCCUUGAUUUGUUGAUGGUUUCAAAGAUGGCGAAUGCACAUGCAAGAGCAUAAGAAAAAUUUUCCUGUGAUUUUGUUGUUCCUUGAACAUACACUUCUAGAUCCAACAACAGCCAUGGUGGAACAAUUAUUGUCUCUUCCUCAAUGCUGAAGAGAUCUUCAGAAUCCAAAGCAUGAUUGUUAUCAUUUUCCUUACUUUCUUUGUCAUCACUAUUUAAAGUGGAAACAUCAGCAGUAGCUUCACGGUAUCGCUCUAAUAUUAUGUUACGAGGAUGAAGAUUCUUCAGAGGAUGACCAUCCUUAUUGGGGAUUGAAAGACUUUCUACCCUAAUUACAAGAUACUUAGAGUUGCAGUCUACAUAUUUGGAUUGAUUAUGAACUCGUGUUGUGUGAUUUUAUGAUGAGCUUAUGUUGAGUUGUGUGUUAUGCAUUGGAUCAUGACUUAUGAUUAUGAAUAUUCU
rnacentral:lncRNA from 1 species